rnacentral:snRNA from 1 species
AGCUUUGUGCAUGGCAGCAUCAUAGCCAGUGAGGUUUAUCUGAGGCUUGAUUAUUGCUAAUUGAAAAAAAUUGUGUAUAUACACGUUUACAACAGCUGGAGGCCCUGGCA